AGAAAGGUUGGAAUCAUUUUUUUGAGAGCAUUGCCUAAGAACAAAAACAAAUUCUAGUAUAAAGCAAAAAGUUGUUCUAUAAAUUAGAACUGUAUCCAGAAGCGUUGUUUCAAGAGGUUAUUAUAGAACUUCACAACAACCAAUUUCUGCAAUUCUCCAAAUUUUUCAAGAUUUACCAACAUAUUUCCAUUGGAUUCAAUGAGUACUCAAGGAGCCUCACUAUUGUCAUCAUCUUCUUCAUCUUCAAGACGGUGGAUAUAUGACGUUUUCCUUGGUUUCAGAGGCGAGGACACACGCAAUAGUUUUACUGACCAUCUAAAUGCUGCUUUGCAACGUUCGGGUAUUUCUACCUUUAGAGACAAUGAAAAACUUGAGAGAGGAAAAUCUAUUGCACCAGAACUCUUGAAAGCAAUAGAAGAAUCGAGAUUUGCUAUUGUUAUUCUCUCAAGAAAUUAUGCAUCUUCGACAUGGUGCUUGGAUGAACUUACAAAGAUCAUUCAAUGCAUGAAAGAGAUGGAAAUGACUAUUCUACCUAUAUUUUAUAAGGUGGACCCAUCUAAUAUACGAAAUCGAAAUGGAACUUUUGCACAAGCUUUUGCUAAGCAUGAAAAACGUUUGAAGGGGAACACAGAGAAGGUGCAAACUUGGCGAGCCGCUUUGAGUGAAGUGGCCAAUCUCUCCGGGUGGCAUUCACAAGAUAGGCCUGAGGCAGAAGUUAUUGAAGACAUUGUGAAAGUGAUAAUAAAUAAACCGAAUGAUACAUUCUCUGUAGCUACCAAGGGACUAGUAGGAAUAAGUUCCAGAGUUGAGAAAUUGAUGUCACAUUUAGAUAUAGAGUCAAAUGGUGUUCGCAUUAUAGGAAUUAGGGGAAUAGGAGGAAUGGGCAAAACAACUCUAGCAAGAGUUGUUUACAGUAUGAUUUCCAAACAAUUUGAAGCAUGUUGUUUUAUUUCUAAUGUCAGGGAAGUUUACAAAAAAUAUGGCAUACUUCAGUUGCAAAAAACACUUUUGGAAAAUCUUUUGAUUCUUAGAGAUGUGAAUGUAAAAGAUGUUGAUAAUGGAGUUCUCAUGAUUAAGGAUAGGUUACAUCACAAAAAGAUUCUUCUUGUUCUUGAUGAUGUAAAUGAAUUAGACCAGUUGAAUAAAUUAGUUGGGGGGCAUGAUUGGUUAGGUCCAGGUAGUAGAGUUAUCAUAACAACAAGAGAUGUGCAUUUGCUAAUAACGCAUAAAGUAGACUAUAUAUGUGAGGUUGAAGGAUUGAGUGAUGAUGAAGCUUUUUGUCUUUUUAAUUCAAAAGCUUUUGACAAAGAGCAUCCUCCUGAAGAAUAUCUAAAGUUGUCCCAAGCCUUUGUAGAUUAUGCUAAUGGCCUUCCCUUAGCCAUUGAGGUUUUGGGUUCCUUUUUGUAUAAUAGAAGUAUGGAUGAAUGGAAAAGUGAAUUAUAUAGGCUUAAAGAAUUUCCUAAAAGAAAAAUUAUCAAUGUACUUCAAAUAAGUUUUGAUGGACUGGAAGAAACAGAGAAAGAAAUUUUCUUAAAUAUAGCAUGUUUCUUUAAUCAUAAAAAUCAAGAUACCAUUACAACAAUAUUAGAUUGUCUUGAGCUUCACCCUAAAAUUGGAUUAAGGGUUCUUACUGAUAAAUCUCUCAUUAAGUUUCAAGACAAUCAAUUGUGGAUGCAUGAUUUAAUCGAAGAAAUGGGUCGAGAUAUAGUCCGUAGAGAGUGCCCGAAAGACCAACCUGGGAAGCAUAGUAGAUUGUGGUUGUAUAAAGAUAUUGACAAUGUGUUGACAAAUAAUACGGGAACAGAAGCAAUUCAAGGCAUCGUCUUACCGUUUCUAGGAACAAAAGGGGCACAUUGGAAUCCUGAAUCAUUUUCAAAAAUGAAUCGUCUAAAACUCCUCAUAAUUGAAGAUCCUUACCUCAUGUAUGAUCCCAAAAAUCUUCCUAAUGGCUUAAGAUAUCUUAAUUGGUGUGGGUACCCUUCAAAAUCUUUGCCAACAAGUUUCCAACCAGAUGAGUUAAUUGAACUUCACAUGUGUUUUAGCAACAUUGAACAACUUUGGACAAGAGCAAAGGGACUCUCUCCUAACUAUUAUGGGGAAAGAUAUGGAGUGGUUUUUCCUGGAAGUGAAAUACCGGAGUGGUUUAGCCAUCAAUGUAUGGGGAAUGAAGUGAAUAUAAUGGAACCUUUUUCUCAUUUGUGUAAUGACUGGAUUGGGAUUGCUGUUUGCGUUGCAUUUUGUUCUCUUUCGUGUCAACCAUUUCCUUGCGGUACGGUUCAGAUCCGGUUGAGAGCCAAUGGAAAAUAUAUGUCUAUUGUAGGUAAAAAGGGAAGAUGUGUGGGUUACCGCAUUGCCCCUGAUAUGGUUGCUUUAUCAGAUCAUAUUUGGCUGUUGUAUUUGCUUCCUCAAAACAUCUGGGAGGAGAACAGAAAAUCACUAUGGGAAUGUGAUGCAAAUGGAUUCCGCGAGAUUGGAAUUAAAAUUAAUAACAAAGGUUCAUGCUUGGUGAAGAAAUGCGGGUUGCGUGUGGUAUACAAGAAAGACAUUGAAGAUCUCAACGGUAAAGUGGUUCAGAGUAGCAACAACAGCAUCAUUCCUUAUGAGGGCUUGAAAGAGUCCUUGAAUUUAUGGCCCAUGGUAAAUAGUAUGAGGAGUCAAGUCGAUACAAGGAAUGUGGUCAAGAGCUAAGCAAUUGGCAUGAAUUGCAUGUAAGUCACUGUCAUUGUCUUUCUUCUUAAUUCAAGCUCUGUUGGUUGUUGCAUUAUCUUUUUCUCUUCAGUAUACAUUUAUAAAUGGAUUGCCCACCAUGUGUUUGAUUACAGUUGUCAAUGAGUCUUCUAGUAGUUUGACUAGAAUGAACAAAGAAUGGCAAGAAAUAGCUUUUUGUUGGAAAGUUUUAAAUGCAGAAGAAUUCAUCAAACUUGGAAAGUUUUGGCUGCCAAACGUACUAGUUUACUGUUCUAUCUCAUGUUGUUUUCUUCCAAACAACAAAUACUGAAUAAUAGAUAGUAUUGAAUGGUAAUAUUUCUAAAUCGCCUUAGAAAAAACAUCUUACCCCUAAUCAUCCCAUGUGAUGCUUCUGCAAAGGCAUGGGUAAGACCUUAAUAUUAUUUGAAUCUCAAUUAAAAGUGACAAAUCUUUUUCCUCUGCAUUUUGUUGGUUACAUACUUACAUUUCAUAUUAAAUUGAUGACACGCCUUUAUAACCAUCCAAGUAUAUGCAUAUGGUUCUAGUUUUAUCAAAUUUCUCCAAAGGAAUGUCCAAUAAAAUUGCUUAGGUUCUCUGAAAAUUGUGGCAGAUGUCCUAGUUAAAGAUACGUUCAGAGAGAAUUCUGAAUUAGUUUGGAAACUCAAUAGCCAAAAUGAUGCUAAGAGAAUUUUCUUAAUUCCUGUUUGUAUUGCUCACAAGCUCAUAAAGCCUAAUUCUAAAUAUGGGUCUUAUUUUAGCUAAAAAGGAAAAUGGCUGUUGCAUACCAAGAAUUGUAGAAACCAAGCUGGUAGGCCUUUUAUUGGUCUUAAUGGCAUUGCAACCAGUUAUGUAGGAUACAAUUACCUUCUAAAAUGAUUAUCGUUUCCUGAAUUUUUUUCUUUUUAUAAUUUUCUUCUUGUGAGGGUAGAAUUGAGAAGAUAUCUGAUGACUAAUGUCCUUUGUGUCCAAGAUACUGAAAGAUUAGACCAUAUUUUCCCCCCUUGUCAUGUAGAGAAAUCUGGCUUGUUUGAUCUGUUCAUUAGAACGGAUUUCAUUCAGCCUUACUUGAUUCAGGCAUGGAUGAAGAUUUGGAUGAAGGGUAACAGGGGCCAUUGAGAAAUCAUAAAGGUAACUAACAGUUCAAAAACAAAGAAAAGCCUCAACAGCACCAGGAUAAGCAAGUCCACACCUUUAGAGAGUGUUCCAACUGGCAACCAACCACGUUGGAUGAGAGCUGCAAGGGUAAGAGAAGGAAAGGGGAUCCAGUUUCUUUCUGUAAAAAUAGAGGUCCAUGUCUGUGGCUGGUUUUUUCAGCUGGACUGUUGAAGAUUCUAUUGUGACAGCAACUUUAUUGGCUUUUUUAUGAAGCAUUAUUGAAGAUUCUAGCUUUGGGAUUUCUCUGUGUUAGUAUUCUUAGAAGCAACAAAGAGGUGGCAGAGUUACCUAAUAGAGAGGCUGUGGUAAAGGACAAAUGUAUGGGAUUGACAUGUGGAUAGACGUUUUGGCAAAGCCUUGAUCUCUAGCAACCAUUGCGCCUAAGUCUUUAUGAACAGUAGCUUGGAUAAUAGACAGAGAACUCCUAAUCUUCUAAUCUUUUCUUCUUGUGCUGUUUUGGUUCAUUUGUUUCAAUGUACCCAAAAAAGAAUGGCAAGAAAAGGUUUUUGUUGGUGCUUUAGAGGCAGUAGAAAUCAUGGGCUGGAAAGCUUUUACUGCCGAAGGCAUUAUUAAUUUAUUGUUUUACCCAUGUUUCCAUUCAAAAUUAUGCUUAUGGGUUGUCCUCAGUUUAGAAUUCUAUUAGCACAAG